AAGGAGGAGAGAUCCCAUACAGAAGUUCACUUCUUGACAUGUUGAAGUGAGAGAAAUGUUGAAGGGGGUGACCCCAUAACUAUCUGACAAGACAAAGAGAGAGUGACAGUGAGUGAGGAAGAGAGAGUAAUGCAGGUAUGGAUUUGUAUUUCGUUGCAAGGCGGCAGCCCUAAGACAGAUUGCAGAGAGGUGGAGCAGGGCUGUUGCAAAACAAGAAUUUGAGUUGAGAGAAGAGAGAGAGUGGGGUUGCGUCGGUUGUUGGCUUUAGAGAGAGAAACUCACAGAGUUGUUGCAGCUAGUGAGCGAAAGUGCAGCUAGUGAGAGAGAACAAUGCUCAUGCAGCCAGAGGACCGAAUUUCAGAGAGCUGCACAAAGACCGCAUCAGUUGCAGCUUGAGAGAGUGUAGGACUUGUUGGAAAUGGGCAGUAUUCCUCCAUUCCAAUAGUCUCCUCGUUUUCGCCCUUGAGAUAGUUUCCAUUUUGGCCUGCUUGAUUUCGAGAGAUAGAGAGUAAAGGACACGAGAGAAGAAAAAACAGCUAAACAGAGAUUUAUUUCUAGAGGCAUAAUGUAAUGCAACACAGGAGCAGUGCAAUUGAUUGGGGCUCUUGGGUACAAAUGAUUGGAGCAUUUAUAGGGAGGAAAGGUAGGGAUUGAGAAGGUCUAGAGGCACCAAAGAGAGAGAAGAAAAAUUGAGAGACUUUGGUUUGGGUCAAAAACGAAAAGAGUUUGGUCUUGAGUAGGGUAUUCUAAGUGUUUGACAAAAGCUUCAGGUGAUGGCUGCUUUUGGCUGAUUACUAUAGGUAUAAGGCUACUAAAAACUAACCAAUUGUUUGAGAGUUCGCCUAUGAGAAAACUCCUUUUCAUAAACAUUCGAGUGAAUUUUCAAUACAUACGGGGGAGAGAGGAGUGAUGGAUGGAGGAAGAAGAAGUUAAGGAUGGAGUAAAGCGUCAUUCGUAUGCUCAAAUUUUUCGCUCUUCUACUAGGUUUGAUCAUCGUGUUGAUUCGGUUAUUGUGGUGGGUGAGUCCAACGUAUCAAAUCUAGUGUUGUCAUAUCUUUUCUCUCUAAAGGUACAAACGUUGCGGCUUUUCAGAGAUGGGCAGACAAAUCAUGGACUUCAAUGGGUAGACAAAUCAUGGACUUCAACUGUAAUAAUUCUAAAAAAAAAAAUUUUAAAAAAAAGUAAAAAAUAAAAAAAAUAAAAAAUAAAAAUAAAAAAGAAAGAAAGAAACUCUUAAUAAGUGAUGGUCUAUAUGAGCAUGAUGGUCCUUAAGGACCAUCACUGUUUUCAAAAUCUUUUGGUUAAGUUUCUUUUGUUUGCUCCUGCCUUGCCACGUCAAGUGGACGUGGGCUUUAAGCAUAUAAGGGGUAUUGUAAGGGUUACACCUCGUUUAUGAGGUGUCACUUAAUAAAAUAUUAUAAUAAGGUGUCGUAAGAGUUUAAAUAUGGGAGACGAGGACUCCCACCCUAGAAAACUUUUGAAAUCUUUCCCUUUCUGGUCGAAACACAGUGAGCUCCUCUCCCUAACCAAAUUUUUAUCGGAAGCUUCCUCUCAAAUAUUUUAGGUAAGUGACAUCGUCUUCCUGAAAAAUAGUCUAUUUCUAAUAAAUAAUGAUAUUUUCGUCUAGGAUCUUUAUUUUAUCAGUUUUAUGUAUAAGUGACCUCAUUGUCUCGAAAAAUAAUCCAUUUUUUUUAAAAAUAAAAUGAAAUAGUUAUUUCUGCUUAUUAUCAUGAAUUUUAGACGCGAUAAAUUUUAUGCGCACGUGACCUCAUUAUAUUGAAAAAUAAUCUUUUUAAUAAAAAUUGUGAUAUUUUAUCUAUGUUAGAAAUUUUGAAUGCUAUAAAUUAGAAAAAUAAAAUUAUUUAUUUGUCUUGUCUAUUGUUAGAAAUAAAUGUGAUAUUUCUUCUUUUAGUAAAAUUGUGAUAUUUUUUUCUACUGUUUUGAAUAUUUAGACAUUGAAAAAUUCAUGUGCAAAUGACUGCCUUAUUAUUUAAAAAUUGACAUUUUUGUAAUUGAUUAUAGUAUUGUUGUGAAAUGUUUAUUUGUGGAUUGAUAUCCCAUAAAUUGUGAUAAUUCCGUAUUCUUGAAUUUUUAUAAGAGUUUUUCUAUACAUAUUAAAUUGGAAAUUAUGCUAGAAUGCCUUUACAAACUGCUACCUUUCUAAAUUUGAGCCCAAAAUAUUUGAUUGGUUAUUUUUGAAAUGUUAUAGAGAGUGACUGUUAUUAAUGGUUUAAGUGAAAUUCAUAUUAAUGGUUUCAGUGAUAUGUUGAGUACAUGAUAUUGCUGCUUUCGAAUGUUUAAAGAGAUUUAGAAAUAAUUUAAGUAUGCAAGUGGACUUAUCCGGUUCGCCGGUGAGGUAAAAGUGGACCUAUCUGGGACGACGGUAGGGAUUAAGUGGACUCAUCCGGUACGCCGGUGAGGUAUAAGUGGACCUGCAGGGAUUAAGUGGACCUAUCUGGGACGCCGAUAGGGAUUAAGUGGACCCAUCAGGACGCUGAUGGGGCAUAUAGGUGACAUACUUGGGACGCCAGUAGGGUAUUUUGUGAAAUCCUUUGAAUUAUGCACUACUGUUAAAGUGUUAUAUGCGUUUCAAUUAUUCAGAUUAUACUUAAUUAUGCAUUUAUUGAAAGUGAAAUUGUUGAUGCAUUUCUGUUAAUAUAUCUCCUUUUGGAAAAUAUUGAUAUCUUUCAACCAUGAUUAUUUUUAGGAUUAUGAUGAUCACUUACUGAGUAGCCAAACUCAUCAAACUAUGGUAAACAUUUUUCAGGAUAACUGCGGCUUCAUUUUGAGUACUCGUCAAGGGCAACUUUGGAAGAUAUUGUAGUUGUGUCUAAGCUUUUUUUUUGUUACUUUGUAAGAAUUCGUCAGUGUAAAUUUGUCCUAUUAAGAGUGUACAUAUGUUUUGAUUGUCACAUCUCAGGAAUAUCAGUAUUGUAAAUUCUUGGGGUGUGACAUCAAACCCUAGCCAAUGCAGAAGUACCCCUGGAAAUAAAGCUAUAUGUUUUCUUGAAUCGACCAAUGAAGUAGCCAAGGUGAUAAAAUUUGUAUAUUUCGAGGAGU
rnacentral:lncRNA from 1 species